rnacentral:rRNA from 1 species
CCCUUAGAUGUUCUGGGCCGCACGCGCGCUACACUGAUGCAUUCAACGAGCCUAGCCUUGACCGAGAGGUCCGGGUAAUCUUUGAAACUGCAUCGUGAUGGGGCUAGAUUAUUGCAAUUAUUAAUCUUCAACGAGGAAUGCCUAGUAAGCGUGAUUCAUCAAAUCGCGUUGAUUACGUCCCUGCCCUUUGUACACACCGCCCGUCGCUCCUACCGAUUGAGUGUGUUGGUGAGGAGUUCGGAUUGGCUCUUAGUGGUGGUUCGCCACCACCUAGAGCUUAGAAGUUCUCCAAACCGCCCCACUUAGAGGAAGGAGAAGUCGUAACA